rnacentral:rRNA from 1 species
UACGGAGGGGGCUAGCGUUGUUCGGAAUCAUUGGGCGUAAAGCGCGUGUAGGUGGCUUGGCAAGUCGGUUGUGAAAUCCCGGGGCCCAACCCCGGAACUGCAUUCGAAACUGCCUCGCUAGAGUCCCGGAGAGGAAGGCGGAAUUCCCGGUGUAGAGGUGAAAUUCGUAGAUAUCGGGAGGAACACCAGCGGCGAAGGCGGCCUUCUGGACGGUGACUGACACUGAGACGCGAAAGCGUGGGGAGCAAACACG